UGCCAUGACAAUGGUGAACCGCACAGA
rnacentral:piRNA from 1 species